rnacentral:rRNA from 1 species
GACAGAGGAUGCAAGCGUUAUCCGGAAUCAUUGGGUUUAAAGGGUCCGUAGGCGGUUUUGUAAGUCAGUGGUGAAAGCCCAUCGCUCAACGGUGGAACGGCCAUUGAUACUGCAAGACUUGAAUUAUUAGGAAGUAACUAGAAUAUGUAGUGUAGCGGUGAAAUGCUUAGAGAUUACAUGGAAUACCAAUUGCGAAGGCAGGUUACUACUAAUGGAUUGACGCUGAUGGACGAAAGCGUGGGGAGCGAACAGG